rnacentral:rRNA from 1 species
GAUGAACGCUGGCGGCGUGCCUAAUACAUGCAAGUCGAGCGAACGGACGAGAAGCUUGCUUCUCUGAUGUUAGCGGCGGACGGGUGAGUAACACGUGGAUAACCUACCUAUAAGACUGGGAUAACUUCGGGAAACCGGAGCUAAUACCGGAUAAUAUUUUGAACCGCAUGGUUCAAAAGUGAAAGACGGUCUUGCUGUCACUUAUAGAUGGAUCCGCGCUGCAUUAGCUAGUUGGUAAGGUAACGGCUUACCAAGGCAACGAUGCAUAGCCGACCUGAGAGGGUGAUCGGCCACACUGGAACUGAGACACGGUCCAGACUCCUACGGGAGGCAGCAGUAGGGAAUCUUCCGCAAUGGGCGAAAGCCUGACGGAGCAACGCCGCGUGAGUGAUGAAGGUCUUCGGAUCGUAAAACUCUGUUAUUAGGGAAGAACAUAUGUGUAAGUAAUCUGUGCACAUGGUGACGGUACCUAAU